rnacentral:rRNA from 1 species
GAUCAUGGCUCAGGAUGAACGCUAGCGACAGGCUUAACACAUGCAAGUCGAGGGGCAGCAUGAUAAGUAGCAAUACUUAUUGAUGGCGACCGGCGCACGGGUGGGUAACGCGUAUGCAACUUACCUAUCAGAGGGGGAUAGCCCGGCGAAAGUCGGAUUAAUACUCCAUAAAACAGGGGUUUCCGCAUGGGACUAUUUGUUAAAGAUUCAUCGCUGAUAGAUAGGCAUGCGUU